AUACCCUUUCCACUAACUUUAUACUUAUGGCUGUAUGUAGUGGCAUGCUUAUGGACCUUACUACUUAUUGUAUUCAUUAAAACAUUGGGAUAAACUUACGGAUUGACAACUUCUUGUUCAGGAUACGUAAUACGGUGUAUGUACGAAUCAGCGAUUGGAACGGGUCACUUUUUGCAACUGCACUCCAACUUUCCUUGGCAUGCUCGUAUGUUCGAUGAGAGUUGGGACUGUGUGAUGAUGUACAAACUAGCGUAUGUGUCAUCAUGCAGAAAUCCACAGGAGGCUGAACGAACAGGACAUUGGAGCAACGGUUCAGAUGUUUCAGAAGCGGGUUAUUGGGUUUGGGGCGCAGCUGUCAAUUACCUCGAGUGAUUACGCUGAUUUGUCUUUGUUUGCAGGAUGCAGAAGAUAGUGGAAGGGGUAUAGAUCUGAUUUGGACAGUUUUCAGUGCAGCAAAGUUGUGGAUGUUCCAGCCACCAAGGUGUCUUCAAUAAUGAUCUAAGCUUCCAUAGCAUCUGAACCUGCUGACAAUGUUGUUUAUUGAGAGUGUG